rnacentral:rRNA from 1 species
GACGAACGCUGGCGGCGUGCUUAACACAUGCAAGUCGAGCGGUAAGGCCCUUUCGGGGGUACACGAGCGGCGAACGGGUGAGUAACACGUGGGUGACCUGCCCUCAGCUCUGGGGAUAAAGCCCGGGAAACUGGGUCUAAUACCGGAUAUGACUCCAUGACGCAUGUUGUGGGGUGGAAAGCCUUGUGCGGCUGAGGAUGGGCCCGCGGCCUAUCAGCUUGUUGGUGGGGUGANGGCCUACCAAGGCGACGACGGGUAGCCGGCCUGAGAGGGCGACCGGCCACACUGGGACUGAGACACGGCCCAGACUCCUACGGGAGGCAGCAGUGGGGAAUCUUGCGCAAUGGGCGAAAGGCCUGACGCAGCGACGCCGCGUGAGGGAUGACGGCCUCGG